rnacentral:lncRNA from 1 species
AAAAUAGAAAAAAUAAGGGUGAUGUUAACUUGUGCCCUAAGGGGAAUGAUUUGUUAGUGAUUAGUUUUUACAAUUGUAGAAACAUUUAUGCACACCCCUAGUUGCCAUCAUAAGAUUGUAUUUGGCUGAUUGGUAAAGCAGCGCAUUUGGUGAUUAUAGUGUCCCGAGUUCGAUUAUUCGGCUUAACUACACAUUUGGUCCUUUUUUAGAUUUCAAUUUGGUC